rnacentral:misc_RNA from 1 species
AAGGAUCAUUAUCAAAACAGCGGACUUCGGUCUUUGCUGCACCCUUGUCUUUUGCGCACCGAAUUGUUUCCUCGGCGGGCUUGCCUGCCGGUUGGACAUUAUCAAAACCUUUUUGUAGUUGCAAUCAGCGUCAGAAAAAUCAUAAUUAUUACAACUUUCAACAACGGAUCUCUUGGUUCUG